rnacentral:tRNA from 2 species
GUUCCCGUAGCUCAGCAGGAUAGAGCGUUCGCCUCCUAAGCGAAAGGUCUUGGGUUCGAAUCCCCACGGGAACGCCA